UCACCAGCUUUUGAGUGAUUUAAUCCCUUACCAGUUGCACUAAAGUUGUAGAAACAAAGUUCACUCCCAACAUUUUAUUCCAUGGAAGUGACUCAUUGUAACGGUCGCUGUCCCCCAGACGGAACACCAAACAAAAAGAUAGGUGAAUAAAUAAGUGGAUUUUCUUCACACCCCACAGAAACGGAAAUUGAUGAACCUCCUUUGUAAAGUAGGAAGCUGAGACGAAGAGAACAAUUAAGACCCAGCAGAAUGGAUCCCAUCAAGAAUUUGUUAACUAUUGCCUGACUCCAAACACUGAGGAGCAGCAGAAGUUCGGAACUCCUGACAGCAUCAUUGACUCAGAAAGAUGAAGGGAAAAAUGAAGUUCAAAGCAACUUCCUUCAUUUACCCUGAAUUGUAAUUCAUGUUAUUGAAUGGUAUACAAAAUCAAAGUGAAUCAAAGCUGUAUUUACAGUACAGCUGGAGACUUUUUACUUGUUCCAUCAAAUGCUGUUCAACUCAAAUGACAUAGGUCAAACUGUGCAAACUGAGCAAAUUAUAACAUAUGCCAAGCAUAUAAAUUCCUCAGCAUUCCGCUUUAAAAAUUCUGGAGUGUACCUUAAUUAAAUCUUCUCUUGUAUGAUCUUGUUGAGAUAAUGUUACAAUAGUCUUUCUCAGUUUUCAGAUGAUGACAAUGAAUCUUACAUAUAAAAUAUACUAGCAGUUAUGUCAGGGCUUUGCUCAAGGUGAGAUGAGCAAGGUGCUAACAAAAAGUUCUAGCGUUAAAUGCACAUUGAAUUAAAUCAAAUAAACUAAACUUACUAAGCCAAGCAAUAAAUAUACUUAGCAAAGUGUAUCAUAAUAAAGAUGCUGUGAGAUGCAUUAUAUCAACUCUGAAGCCAUCCUGUCCAACAUUUUAAU